rnacentral:rRNA from 1 species
CCUACGGGAGGCAGCAGUGGGGAAUAUUGCACAAUGGGGGAAACCCUGAUGCAGCGACGCCGCGUGAGUGAAGAAGUAAUUCGGUAUGUAAAGCCCUAUCAGCAGGGGAGCAAAUGACGGUACCUGAGUAAGCAGCCCCGGCUAACUACGGGCCAGCAGCCGCUGUAAUCCGUAGGGGGCACGCGUUAUCCGGAUUUACUGGGUGUAAAGGGAGCGUAGACGGCAGUGCAAGUCUGGAGUGAAAGGGGGGGGCUCAACCCCCGGACUGCUGUGGAAACUGUACGGCUGGAGUGCAGGAGAGGUAAGUGGAAUGCCUAGUGUAGCGGUGAAAUGCGUAGAUAUUAGGAGGAACACCAGUGGCGAAGGCGGCUUACUGGACUGUAACUGACGUUGAGGCUCGAAAGCGUGGGGAGCAAACAGGAUUAGAUACCCUUGUAGUC